ACACGUGGUAUCCUGUCUGAAUAUGGGGGGACCAUCCUCCAAGGCUAAAUACUCCUGACUGACCGAUAGUGAACCAGUACCGUGAGGGAAAGGCGAAAAAGAACCCCGGCGAGGGGAGUGAAAAAGAACCUGAAACCGUGUACGUACAAGCAGUGGGAGCACCUUCGGGUGUGACUGCGUACCUUUUGUAUAAUGGGUCAGCGACUUAUAUUCUGUAGCAAGGUUAACCGUAUAGGGGAGCCGCAGGGAAACCGAGUCUUAACUGGGCGUUAAGUUGCAGGGUAUAGACCCGAAACCCGGUGAUCUAGCCAUGGGCAGGUUGAAGGUUGGGUAACACUAACUGGAGGACCGAACCGA
rnacentral:rRNA from 1 species